rnacentral:rRNA from 1 species
UUGGAGGGCAAGUCUGGUGCCAGCAGCCGCGGUAAUUCCAGCUCCAAUAGCGUAUAUUAAAGUUGUUGCAGUUAAAAAGCUCGUAGUUGAAUUUCGGGAUCAAUUUAUCGGUCGUGCCUACGGUAUGAACUGGUACAAUUGGUUUCUCCCUUCUGACGAAGCAUGAUGCCAUUAAUUUGGUGUCGUGGGGAAUCAGGACUGUUACUUUGAAAAAAUUAGAGUGUUUAAAGCAAGCAUUAGCUUGAAUACAUUAGCAUGGAAUAAUGAAAUAGGACGUUUGAUCCUAUUUCGUUGGUUUCUAGGAUCGACGUAAUGAUUAAUAGGGAUAGUUGGGGGCAUUAGUAUUCAAUUGUCAGAGGUGAAAUUCUUGGAUUUAUUGAAGACUAACUACUGCGAAAGCAUUUGCCAAGGAUGUUUUCAUUAAUCAAGAACGAAAGUUAGGGGAUCGAAGACGAUCAGAUACCGUCGUAGUCUUAACCAUAAACUAUGCCGACUAGGGAUCGGAUGAUGUUAAUUUUUUAAUGACUCAUUCGGCGCCUUACGGGAAAC